rnacentral:piRNA from 1 species
UGGCCAAUGUGUGGCAGCCAAGCCAGAGU